UGUACGUGGCUAAGAAAAUCCUCUGCCAUGAUCCUCAUAAUAACUACAGAAUAUCCUUCCUCGAUUCUCGCUUUCCUUUCCCAAGACCAUGGUCCCUUCAUCCCUUCUCCCUCCCGCAACUCCCUCAGAUUUUCUUCCGCCACUCCUCUCCUCUUCGGGCCUCUACCUAGGUUCCUCAGCUUCGUGCCCCUAGAAAUCAAAGGCGGCGACUGAGGGUAGUCACAUCGAGGAGCCGUACUUGGGAGAAGUGGGAUGUUCCCGAAAAAAAUCCUUGGAUCUCUCUUGCACACGCCAAUGGCAUCGGUGAACACUGGUGAGAGGCAGGUAGAAUUGAUGCCGGAGUCUAGGGCCACCGUCUCAUAGAUGCGGCAGAACGUGCGGCGUACGGCGGGAUCAAGAGGAUGGAUCUCGAGGACGGGCAGGCGGCGGCCGUCAUGCGAGAGGAGCCUGCUCGCAGGGUGCUGCGACGUUGACAAGCUGGGGCUCGAUACUGGGGCGCUCCGCUUCCUGGCGCACCUAUUCGUGUUCCACGGCCACAGAAGUGUACCGGUACUGAAGCACCUUGCGACGCGUUUGGUUCGAGCAGAGGUAAAGUAUUCAGUAUUGCAAUGAGAAUAUAGUGUAUUAAAUCAGGGACAAGCGAAUACGUUAUGUGUUUGGUUCAUGCAAGGGAAGAGGAAACAGUGUCACCUCCGCCGGCCAUGUAGAAGAUGCCCACUGAGGGACGACGACUUGCGAUGAGAAACGAGACCAGCAACUGCUCACAGCGGCUAUACUGCUCACGGCGGUGAAGGGAGAUUGGCAGCACUGCUUACGUCGACGACGGUGAUGGGAGAUUGGCAGCGCUGCUACUCUAACAGAGGCGGCGAAUUGAUACGACGGUGGUGCUGCUCACGGAGGCGGCAAACUGAUACGACGGCGUUGUUUCUCAUGGCGGAGGAGGAUCACCGGCGGUUCUAUUCAUGGUGGAGGUGGUUUGCUGGCACUGCUGCCUGGUCCUCGGUGGUGAAGAAAACGAUCCGAAAGAGUGGAGGUGUCGAACUACACUACUAGCACAGGCUGCACCUUGUCUUUAGCAAAGACGGAAAGCCUGCUAAUUAAUGAUACAGGGAGAUGAACGAUGUGGAUAUGAAGUAGUGGGUUGUGCUUUUCUGCAGUAAAUGCAUUUAGAGAUUAGAUGGCUUACUCCAAAGACAAGCAACUAAUCUUGUUGAUGGGAUUGCUGCGCAGAUUCAUGCAUCGUGCUCUUCCGUGGUAAGGAGCCUGUGGCUCUCUCAAGUCUCAACUGAUCAGAAGGGACAAGUAAAUACAUUAUGUGUUUGCUUCCUCUGUUUCAAAAGGAUGUCGUUUGAGCGGCAAGUAAUUUCGGGCGAAGGGAGUACUUAACAUAAAACAUUAGCAGCUGAACGGUGUGACAUGCAAAAUAAAUAUCCAUCUAGGUCAGCUGGUUGGUCAGAGGAAGAAAGCAUAAUGCAUGAAUGAAAGUGGAGAGGACAAAGAAAGAUGUGUGGAUUCUCAUAGUUGAAGUAAGUAAGUAUUAUGGGGAUUCUCAUAGUUGGUGAAAAUAAAUAUUAUGCGGAUUCUCAUGGUUGGAGUUAAUAACGGACACAGUGGCGUAUUAGUUGUUUGCCCAACAACGGACAUCGUAUUGUUAUUUCAUGGUAAUACACGACAUUCAACUGUAUAUGUUACAACGUGGCAAUGGCCCGGGAGGCAUUGGAUCUGCCGUCUUGGCUAAGGGGGCGUCACGAGUGGGGAGGCGAUCAGCGGGGAGAGCCAGGUGGUUGGCGGGGGACUCCUCGUUCACGAUCCAUGUGGAAGUACGUUGACAAUUCAUGGGAAAGUACUAUGUGAAGUACCGUUGGUGCUAUGGCGAAGAUAAAGUGGGUGUCGUCCAGUUUAAAACGGAAAGGUUUACAUGAAGAGGGAGAAUGCCGGCAGCUGCGAUUCUGGGCUGGAAAG